AUUGAACGCUGGCGGCAUGCCUAACACAUGCAAGUCGAACGAGUGGCGGACGGGUGAGUAAUGUCUGGGAAACUGCCUGAUGGAGGGGGAUAACUACUGGAAACGGUAGCUAAUACCGCAUACCAUCGGAUGUGCCCAGAUUGGAUUAGCUAGUAGGUGGGGUAAAGGCUCACCUAGGCGACGAUCCCUAGCUGGUCUGAGCGGAUGACCGGCCACACUGUAACUGAGACACGGUCCAGACUCCUACGGGAGGCAGCAGUGGGGAAUAUUGCACAAGGGGCGCAAGCCUGAUCCAGCCAUGCCGCGUGUAUGAAGAAGGCCUUCGGGUUGUAAAGUACUUUCAGCGGAGAAGCGUUACCCGCAGAAGAAGCACCGGCUAACUCCGUGCCAGCAGCCGCGGUAAUUC
rnacentral:rRNA from 1 species